AAAUUGAAGAGUUUGAUCAUGGCUCAGAUUGAACGCUGGCGGCAGGCCUAACACAUGCAAGUCGAACGGUAACAGAAAGCAGCUUGCUGCUUCGCUGACGAGUGGCGGACGGGUGAGUAAUGUCUGGGAAACUGCCUGAUGGAGGGGGAUAACUACUGGAAACGGUGGCUAAUACCGCAUAACGUCGCAAGACCAAAGAGGGGGACCUUCGGGCCUCUUGCCAUCAGAUGUGCCCAGAUGGGAUUAGCUAGUUGGUGAGGUAACGGCUCACCAAGGCGACGAUCCCUAGCUGGUCUGAGAGGAUGACCAGCCACACUGGAACUGAGACACGGUCCAGACUCCUACGGGAGGCAGCAGUGGGGAAUAUUGCACAAUGGGCGCAAGCCUGAUGCAGCCAUGCCGCGUGUAUGAAGAAGGCCUUCGGGUUGUAAAGUACUUUCAGCGGGGAGGAAGGUGUUGUGGUUAAUAACCGCAGCAAUUGACGUUACCCGCAGAAGAAGCACCGGCUAACUCCGUGCCAGCAGCCGCGGUAAUACGGAGGGUGCAAGCGUUAAUCGGAAUUACUGGGCGUAAAGCGCACGCAGGCGGUCUGUCAAGUCGGAUGUGAAAUCCCCGGGCUCAACCUGGGAACUGCAUUCGAAACUGGCAGGCUUGAGUCUUGUAGAGGGGGGUAGAAUUCCAGGUGUAGCGGUGAAAUGCGUAGAGAUCUGGAGGAAUACCGGUGGCGAAGGCGGCCCCCUGGACAAAGACUGACGCUCAGGUGCGAAAGCGUGGGGAGCAAACAGGAUUAGAUACCCUGGUAGUCCACGCCGUAAACGAUGUCUACUUGGAGGUUGUGCCCUUGAGGCGUGGCUUCCGGAGCUAACGCGUUAAGUAGACCGCCUGGGGAGUACGGCCGCAAGGUUAAAACUCAAAUGAAUUGACGGGGGCCCGCACAAGCGGUGGAGCAUGUGGUUUAAUUCGAUGCAACGCGAAGAACCUUACCUGGUCUUGACAUCCACGGAAGUUUUCAGAGAUGAGAAUGUGCCUUCGGGAACCGUGAGACAGGUGCUGCAUGGCUGUCGUCAGCUCGUGUUGUGAAAUGUUGGGUUAAGUCCCGCAACGAGCGCAACCC
rnacentral:rRNA from 1 species